AUUGAACGCUGGCGGCAUGCCUUACACAUGCAAGUCGAACGGCAGCACGGGAGCAAUCCUGGUGGCGAGUGGCGAACGGGUGAGUAAAGUAUCGGAACGUGCCCAGUCGUGGGGGAUAACGUAGCGAAAGUUACGCUAAUACCGCAUACGAUCUACGGAUGAAAGCGGGGGAUCGCAAGACCUCGCGCGAUUGGAGCGGCUGAUAUCAGAUUAGGUAGUUGGUGGGGUAAAGGCUCACCAAGCCGACGAUCUGUAGCUGGUCUGAGAGGACGACCAGCCACACUGGGACUGAGACACGGCCCAGACUCCUACGGGAGGCAGCAGUGGGGAAUUUUGGACAAUGGGCGCAAGCCUGAUCCAGCCAUGCCGCGUGCAGGAUGAAGGCCUUCGGGUUGUAAACUGCUUUUGUACGGAACGAAAAGGUUUGGCCUAAUAAGCUGAGCUCAUGACGGUACCGUAAGAAUAAGCACCGGCUAACUACGUGCCAGCAGCCGCGGUAA
rnacentral:rRNA from 1 species